AUUGGGGUAGGUAGCAGAGCAGUACCAUGAGAGGAGAAGAACAGGAAGUCAGCAGAAUUGAGACUUUUUAAAGUUUUGGCCCAAACGAGGGGGAAUGGGGGCGUCAUUUUGAGCUCCCUGCCUCAGGUGCCAAAAUGUUGUGGGCCGGCCCUGACAGGGGGUUGGACUAGAUGACCUUCUGGGGUCCCUUCCAACCCUGAU